UGCUCCUGCAUACUGCUGUGUUAUUCCGGAAGUGCAAGAGAAGAAAGGACACAGCAGAUCAGAGAACUGCAAGGCAAAGAAGAGAAGAACAAAGGAGGGAAUGACAUCGAUUUUUAAUCCUUGAAUUACUCCUCCAAUUGAGGUUUAGAUGUCCGAGACAUGCAUAUGGGAGGGGGUACAUGGAGCACAUACACAUAUUCACAUAUUCACUAGUUUAUUAUCAUGUAAUUGCACCAGCCAAAUUAAGAGAUUAACAAAGUGUUUAUCAAUUUAAUACUUGCUAGAAUUUUAGUUAUAUUUGAGAUAUAGUGUUGCGUAGUGGGUAUUAGUAGCAUCCCGGGGCCGUGGAGGGCUGGGGUGUUACAGACGUCUCCCUUGAAACACUGACCAGUGACCACACCCAAGCAAAUAUAUAAAAAUCUCCAAAGUUUUGAGACA